AGGUAUAGGUCGGCCAGGUGCGGGCGCCAGGCGUCGGUGUGCGUGGGGCCAAUACAAGAAACGAGCGGGCCCAGCUAUUGAACGACGGCGUCGUAACGACGUCGUUGACGGUGGCGAUGUGUACCACUGGUACAUGACAUCGGCGUGGACAUGUGCCGCCACGGGAUCAAACGGAAAUAUGCGUGGAGUAAAAAAAAAGGAAAAAAAAAUAUACUGGGUUGCAUCGGACCUUUCCAGAGUCUUCGGGGGUCGGCCACGAGCCUGCGCACGUUCUCUUCGGGUUGAGAUUUCUCCGAGGACGCGGAAAUCAGCCAUCGAAGCGGCGCUGAGGAUGGUGAAUGGAUUCGACUUCUUUUCAGAUCUAGUGGACUGAUUCCUUUUGCCGUCCGCGAGUGGGGAAUCCGGGAAACGGGGCGGGGGUGCACUGCCAUAGUUCCGUGGAUGUCCGAGGGAGGGUGGGGACGGCGGCGAGUAGCUCUUUCUGAGAAUUUUGGCCUGCCGUGGUGUCGCCUGUCCAAGAUAUGAAUGGGCUGCCGGACAGCGGCAGCGCGUCAGUUCAAGACUCUGGCCAGUUGAUGGGAAAAGACGACCCAGAAGCACCAGGAUGAACUCCAAGAGUUGUACCCUCUGACAGCCGCCGUGCGUGGGGAGGGUAUGCUUGUUGGAGAAGACUUUCAGACUUCAGAGGGUUCAUGGAGCAAAAGAGAGCCAUGUUCCUGAAGUUGGUGCUUCAUUCGACUCUUCAGGGGAAAUGAAAGAAGAUUCGGCUGCUGCGAACAAACGACAACAGCUGGUACAUAUUUCAGGGUGCAGAUGAUGAUGAAGGGGGCUGUGUGGGAAGAUUAGUCUUACAAUGCAGAUGAUGAUAUGGGGAAGACAAUGGAGGGUUUUGCUGAGCUGCGCAGUCUAUCGGUUGUCCAUCAGUACAUGAAGCUACUUCAUGACGGGGUCGCAAGCAAAAACUAUGAAGAAUGAAGGAUUUCGUCUCGGUCAAUCACUUACAUGCACAACCUGUACAAGCAUGCACUAGAGCUUGUUCGGCUAGGAGAUGCAAACCCCUGCGUAUGAGAAGCAUGGUUUUCAAUUUCAGUUUCAACAAAAUUUCAGCCCCAACUGAAAUCACUGAAAUUCAGUUAUUUCAGUUUGCAUUUCAGCCAAAAGGCCGAAAUAUUCAUUUGAAUUUAAUUAAAUAUUUGAAAUUUUCAAAAAAUAUUUUGAAAAAUAUUUGAUUUCCUGUGUACUACUGAAUUUGCUGAAAUAUUUUGACCGAAACAUAAUA